UACGUAGGGUCCGAGCGUUGUCCGGAGUGACUGGGCGUAAAGCGCGCGCAGGCGGCCCGCGAGGUGUCCUGUGAAAGCCCCGUGCUCAACGCGGGAGGGUCAGGGCAAACCGGCGGGCUUGAGGCCGGUAGAGGUGGGCGGAACUCCUGGUGGAGUGGUGAAAUGCGUAGAGAUCAGGAAGAACACCCGUGGCGAAGGCGGCCCACUGGGCCGGACCUGACGCUGAGGCGCGAAGGCGUGGGGAGCGAACGGG
rnacentral:rRNA from 1 species